AAACAACCUGCUCAGUAUUUUAUCUUAAGCACCUAUCUCACAAAUUUAUCAUCAUGCAUCAUCUCAACUUCAAUCAAAUACUAGAAUCUCAUAAAGCAAAACUUAUCACACAAAACAGGCACAGUUGAAUCAAGGCAAUUCAGUUCAUUCAAGCAGAGCACACAAAUUAAAAUAAAAGAAAACCCACAUUAAAAUAAAAAAAUAAAAAAAUAAAAAUUAAAAAAAUUAAAGGUUCAGAGCUCUAGGUUGCCUCCCA
rnacentral:lncRNA from 1 species